UCCCUCGUCCGAUCCCCAACCUCCCCCAUCCCAUCGCCGCUGCUGCCUACCCCUCCUCCUACCGGUGCGCCACCACUCCCGCCUCCUUCCGGCGCGCCGUCAUCCCCGCCUCCUACCGGCGCGCCGCCGGACCCUCCUUCUUCCAUGGAGCGCCGCCACCCCGCUGCCUCCUACCGGCGCGCCGUCGGACCCUCCUUCUUCCCUGGAGCGCCGCCACCCCGCUGCCCUCGCCAUCUCCCACCAUGGGGUAACCCUAGAUGGCGCCGGCCCGCCGCCGCCGACGUCGCUCCUUCUCCCUCGGCCCUCAGCCACCAAACGGCCGCUGCAUCACGCCGAUUAGGUCCUACCCCAGGACAGCCACGGGUGUCGUCAUCUCCAGAAGCCUGCCCCCAAAUCGUUGCCACCUGCGCCUCCGAUUCAUCCAACGUCGGUCAUCUCCCUCUUCGUCCUCCACGGGUGUUGCUCUGCCUCGGUCUAUAAUUAACGUCCAUGCCCCAACGCCUUCUCGCCGUUCCUCCCCUGAGCGCGCCCCGCGGCUAACCCUAGGGACCGAGUCAGGCUUGCCGGCGUGGCCGCGUCGUGUGCUGUUGGCACCCCACUCCACCUGCUCUGCUGCGCCCCGGUCUCCAACAGCCAUUCUGAGGAACCCAUCUCGCCGCCACCAUCGUCUGCUAUCCUCCAACAAGUGUGCUGCGGUACGCCGAUGUCCUCCCAUCGGCAAGCUCCGCCCCUGCCGGCAUCGUCCACCCACACCAUGUCCUUCUCUUUGCCAAGCAGCGUUAAGAAGCAGCUAGACACUUUGGUUUUGCAGUUCCAAAACUACACAAAAGUUGGAGAGAACGUGUACCAUUACCAUCAGUGGUCGGGGAAUAGAACAUGAAUCAGACAAUUCGUUCUUUGUACAAUCAGAGUUUAGAGGGCAGUAUACUGCAUCACAAUUUUGGUUCUUUUGUUGUUGCUUGUAUAAAUGAUCACCUACAUUGUAGGGGCUUCUCCCUAUACUGGGCUUUAGAAUGUGUCGCAACUAAAAGUCAAGGAAUUUUUUCAGUCGAAUAAAAUUUAGUAACUAGCCUUUUCAUAUUGAUCUUUAUCUGCAGCGUGAUGGGUGUGGACAAAAACAUGUGGUGUUACCUUACAGUAUGUACUUUAUCUUCCUUUAUGCCGCAUACAUAAUGGAAUUAGAAAGUAUAUUUUUAGUAUAUUAAAACUAGCCUGUCCCUUCCUUUUAGUGUACUGAAUUAGUUCUUAUAAUCUAAUCAAGUGUACACUUAUCUGUUGUCUGUACUAUAGCGGUGAUUAUCAGAAGUCCAAGACCACACUGUAGGCAGGAAAAAGGAAUGUUCUUGUAGGUUGCUCGCGGGUGACUUCUCAGGUGUCACGGCGCUUGCAUUGUAGAUUAGUAGAGGGAAUAUUGAGACGACGAGGAGAGGCGACUUAACUGCAGUCCGCACAACACCAUGAACCAGGGUAAAGAGGUCAAUCUCUUCCGAUACACAAUUGUUGAGGUGUUCAAAAAUCUUAGUGAGAGAGGACAUUGACGGUGCGAGAAUGGAACAUAACGAGUUUUUUUGUGUGUGUGUGUGUGCAUUACCGAAACGUUGCACGACAUGUUCUUGAAGUCCGCCCUCUCAUUGAUUGGAACGGGGUGAGAGUUGUGGAAUUUUUGCUGUGACCACCUGGACUAAGAUGACAGGGCUGACAAAGAUGAAGCCAAGUUGAAGAUUCAGAGUUGCUAGGCAGGCACAGUUAACAGGGAUAAGAAACUAUAGAAGAUUUAUCAAAUCAGACAUGGGCUUGGUUAUGCAAUGAUUCAUUGGGAUCUGAGAUAAUUUCUGCCUGGAGCAGAAGGUUAUAGGGGUGGCCCAGAUAUCAUGGAGAGGCGCCGUGCUCGGUCCAGUAGGAGCUUCGGGUCAACACUGGGGCUGCGUGGUGGGCAUGAACCAUGGCGACUGCCUUCCGGCUUUAUUCUGUUGGCUCGUACAUUUGCCGCUGGCUAUUCUUACAGAAUCAUGAAUUAGACUUAGGAGAAUUGGCAAGUCAUCACAUGAAUUUUUUUAAACUAUGAGGUGCUACAGGUAAACAUGAUGAAUUCACACUUUUAAACUGCCUGGUGAUUUUUUAAAUCUCCAGGCAAUCAGAACAUAUGCAUUUUCUUUGUUUCUCGCUUCAUGUUUUGUCAUGGACUACAUGAGUUUCAUGUAUACCAGAAUGUUUUCAAACCUGUGAUUAACAAGUUCUUUUCCACUUCUAAAUUACAAAUAUCUUAUUGAUGCUACCAUAUUGUAGAGUGUACUUGAUGGUGAUAUUUUUUUACCUCUUAAAUGUUGAAAUUUAGUUAAUAUUCCUAUAUGUUGAAAGUAGUAAUAGUCCUUAGUUUUCAUAGUGGUUCAUGAUCUUGGUGGUGCCUUUUUUUCUUUGUUCUACUAACAAAAAAGGACGCAUCCUAUGUGAAAUAUUUGUGGUUUCGGAAAUAAAUUAUGUUGUAAAUCAUCAUUAACAUGGCAUGUGAUUGCAUCUUGCACUACUUUCAGCCAGCGAGUUGUCUAAACAAUAGAUGUUCUGAUCACUAGCAUGAUUUUGGAUUGAAUCUAAAAUUUGUUUCAGUUUGUAAGCUAAUCUAAAAUAGGUAAAAGGCAUAUUAGGAGAGAAAACAUUGUUUGUGCAACUUUACUCUCUUCAGGUCGCCGUUUUGUAAAGUAGUUCUGCCAUCUUAGGACAUGUGAGGAAAUGCAUAUUUGGCCAUUAUUCAAACGAACAUUUAGACCUCAAUGUCCUAUCUCGUUUCUUACAGUUCCUCAUUAUGCUAGCUCACAUAUUAAGGGGGAAAGGAAGUGGUGUAGAUAUACAAUUUAAUCUCUACUAUUAAAGGGGAGUAAAUUUAGUUUCAUUAGUCCCAUCCCUCUCUCCCUCGUACGUAGAUUUUUUUUACAAAUAAAUGUUUCGAUCGCAGGUUUUGUCAUCCUUGAACCGGUCUGCCCUCAAACAAACCCCUUAGAUGCAGCCAACACCUUGUAGCCCACACAUUACUCUCUUCAGGUCGCCGUUUUGGACCGUGUAGCGCUGUCGCCCGAGAGCCACACGACUCCCAUAUCGCCCCUCUAGGAGAGCCAUAUUAGGGUGGAUCUGGGCCCAUGCCCGACGAAGAGGGGGUGGCGGAGGGAAGGACUGCUGGUGGUGGGAGUCAUUUCGUGGCGACGACUGGUGAAGCGUGGAAAAGGUUAGGGAGGUGGACCAUUAGGGGAAUGACAGUGACACCGCCGCUGCUUUCUCUCCUUCUCGAGACACCAUCAUUGUGAGCAAAGGAGGCCGUGUUGCUAUCUCUGUUUUGUCACGGAAUCAAAAGCACAUUGUGGUGUUUGCCCUCGGCUACGAUGAUGUGCAUUUCUUGGCACCGAGAAUAAGCUUGGGACACUGUGGAUGGGUGAAGAGGGAGUGGGCGAUACCGUGAAGCGAAGGGGAGAUGGCGGUGAGAGGAAGGUACAUGUUGAAUGCCAUGGCGCCGAGGGGAGGCAGCAAUGAGAAGUUUUGGAGGGGAGAGGUUUUGGAGGGGAGAGAUGACGGCGGCGAUGCCCGUGGCAAGGAGAGCAAGCGGAUGGAAUGCGGUGUGAGUGUGAGCGUUGUGUCAUACUAUGAGAGAGUGAAUUGUAUUUUCCAAGACGAGAAGAAAAGGUGUGUGUUUGCUUUUUGAGGGAAAGCAAUUAUUUGCUAUAAAAGUCAUUUUUGAAAAAUAAUUACCAACAAAUGAUUUACAGUUGAGCAUACAGUUUAUCAAAAUUGGGUUGCGAAUCACUCUACAAAGUAUCAUGAUGCCACUAACUCCGACUAAAAAUGGUCACUUGCUUGCAUCCAGGACCAAUGAAUAUAUAUUGUCUUAAUAUUUCAAUAUGUGUAUAUAUGUUCACUUUUGUGGAUUGGAGAUAAAAA